UACGUAGGGGGCAAGCGUUGUCCGGAAUCAUUGGGCGUAAAGCGCGUGUAGGCGGCCCGGUAAGUCCGCUGUGAAAGUCCAGGGCUCAACCCUGGAAUGCCGGUGGAUACUGUCGGGCUCGAGUCCGGAAGAGGCGAGUGGAAUUCCAGGUGUAGCGGUGAAAUGCGUAGAUAUUGGGAGGAACACCAGUGGCGAAGGCGGCUCACUGGACUGGUACUGACGCUGGAUGCGCGAAAGCGUGGGGAGCAACAGGG
rnacentral:rRNA from 1 species